rnacentral:rRNA from 1 species
UACGAGGGGGGCAAAUGUUGUUCGGAAUCACUGGGCGUAAAGGGAGCGUAGGCGGGUUUCUAAGUCAGGUGUUUAAUCCCGGGGCCCAACCCCGGACAGGCACUUGAAACUGGAAAUCUUGAAUAGUGGAGAGGUCAGUGGAAUUGGGGGUGUAGCGGUGGAAUGCGUAGAGAUCCCCAAGAACACCGGUGGCGAAGGCGGCAUCCUGGACCGGCAUUGACGCUGAGGAGCGAAAGCCAGGGGAGCAAACGGG